AUCGGAGUUAUACAGAUCAGCAUAGUUAUAAAUUACAGUUUGUUAAAUCACACACUUACUUUUUUAAAUAAAAUUAUUCACGACAUAUGAGUGGGCAGACAAUGGAAGUCGGCAGACCUGGUGAUAAUUGCUUCUAUAGAAAGUUAGCACAUGGUAGUGUCAAUCUCUUGCUUUUCUUCUGAGUAGUAUUUUAUUUAGUUGUAAUUCAAUCAAUAAUUUGCUUCUUGAAAUUAAGUAAUGAAUUUCUUGUUUUACUGUAUAAAUUUCAGAUCCUGCCUUUACCUGCUCCCUCCUAUACUGAUGUGGUAUAUGUGGUACUGCUGAGCUUGUAUGUGAUCUGAACCAUUGUAAAGGUUGCAGUUCAAGGGCCUGAGGUGGAAGCAGAAUUUGUGAGGAUUACUACUGCUCCACUUGUUCCAAGGCUUUUUGCACAACUUGACCAAUACACCAAUGACCAGCUCAUAAAAGUCUUCAAGAAAAAAGGAGGCGCUGCAGUGAAGAAAAUUAGACAAAUUUUGGCCCCAGCC